GCCAUUUUAGUCAAAGAAAUCUGUUAUGUUAAUUUAUUAUGGGGUAUAUAGGUAUAUUCAAACAUCAACAUGCUUUAAUUAAACACCACAAGACUUAAACACCACAAGACUUUGUUUAAUCUUGUUUAAAGUCUUGUUCCAAACAUAUUCAAUGCAAUACUGAUGAUAAAGUUGUUUUGUCAAGCUAUAUUUUCCAGGAGUGAUAAAGAGCAUAUUAUCCCCGACUUUGGAUAGGGUUCUGAAAAAUCUUUUUCCUGUUUUUCAUUGAAGAAAAUCUGCUGGUCCUCACUAUUUACUUAAAAUUUGAAGUAUUUUUACUGUGGAAUCAUUAUUAUUAUUUGUUUGAUACAACAUUCAUGGAUUUCAUAGGUAAAGACCAACCAUAAAAUUUAAACAAAGUUG
rnacentral:lncRNA from 1 species